rnacentral:rRNA from 1 species
UUAGCGGCGGACGGGUGAGUAACACGUGGAUAACCUACCUAUAAGACUGGGAUAACUUCGGGAAACCGGAGCUAAUACCGGAUAAUAUUUUGAACCGCAUGGUUCAAAAGUGAAAGACGGUCUUGCUGUCACUUAUAGAUGGAUCCGCGCUGCAUUAGCUAGUUGGUAAGGUAACGGCUUACCAAGGCAACGAUGCAUAGCCGACCUGAGAGGGUGAUCGGCCACACUGGAACUGAGACACGGUCCAGACUCCUACGGGAGGCAGCAGUAGGGAAUCUUCCGCAAUGGGCGAAAGCCUGACGGAGCAACGCCGCGUGAGUGAUGAAGGUCUUCGGAUCGUAAAACUCUGUUAUUAGGGAAGAACAUAUGUGUAAGUAACUGUGCACAUCUUGACGGUACCUAAUCAGAAAGCCACGGCUAACUACGUGCCAGCAGCCGCGGUAAUACGUAGGUGGCAAGCGUUAUCCGGAAUUAUUGGGCGUAAAGCGCGCGUAGGCGGUUUUUUAAGUCUGAUGUGAAAGCCCACGGCUCAACCGUGGAGGGUCAUUGGAAACUGGAAAACU